UUCUUGCACUACCAAGGAAGU
rnacentral:piRNA from 1 species